rnacentral:rRNA from 1 species
CAACUCUCGUUAAGGAACUCGGCAAAAUGACCCCGUAACUUCGGGAGAAGGGGUGCUUUUUGAGGUGAAUAGCCUCGAAGAGCCGCAGUGAAUAGGCCCAGGCGACUGUUUAGCAAAAACACAGGUCUCUGCGAAGCCGCAAGGCGAAGUAUAGGGGCUGACGCCUGCCCGGUGCUGGAAGGUUAAGAGGAGGGGUUAGCUCACGCGAAGCUCUGAAUCGAAGCCCCAGUAAACGGCGGCCGUAACGAUAACGGUCCUAAGGUAGCGAAAUUCCUUGUCGGGUAAGUUCCGACCCGCACGAAAGGCGUAACGAUCUGGGCACUGUCUCAACGAGAGACUCGGUGAAAUUAUAGUACCUGUGAAGAUGCAGGUUACCCGCGACAGGACGGAAAGACCCCGUGGAGCUUUACUGUAGCCUGAUAUUGAAUUUUGGUACAGCUUGUACAGGAUAGGUAGGAGCCUGAGAAGCCGGAGCGCUAGCUUCGGUGGAGGCGUCGGUGGGAUACUACCCUGGCUGUAUUGAAGUUCUAACCCGCACCCCCUCAUCGGGGUGGGAGACAGUGUCAGGUGGGCAGUUUGACUGGGGCGGUCGCCUCCUAAAGAGUAACGGAGGCGCCCAAAGGUUCCCUCAGAAUGGUUGGAAAUCAUUCGCAGAGUGUAAAGGCACAAGGGAGCUUGACUGCGAGACCUACAAGUCGAGCAGGGACGAAAGUCGGGCUUAGUGAUCCGGUGGUUCCGCAUGGAAGGGCCAUCGCUCAACGGAUAAAAGCUACCCCGGGGAUAACAGGCUUAUCUCCCCCAAGAGUCCACAUCGACGGGGAGGUUUGGCACCUCGAUGUCGGCUCAUCGCAUCCUGGGGCUGUAGUCGGUCCCAAGGGUUGGGCUGUUCGCCCAUUAAAGCGGUACGCGAGCUGGGUUCAGAACGUCGUGAGACAGUUCGGUCCCUAUCCGUCGUGGGCGCAGGAAAUUUGAGAGGAGCUGUCCUUAGUACGAGAGGACCGGGAUGGACGCACCGCUGGUGUACCAGUUGUUCUGCCAAGAGCAUCGCUGGGUAGCUAUGUGCGGACGGGAUAAGUGCUGAAAGCAUCUAAGCAUGAAGCCCCCCUCAAGAUGAGAUUUCCCAUAGCGCAAGCUAGUAAGAACCCUGAAAGAUGAUCAGGUUGAUAGGUCAGAGGUGGAAGCGUGGUAACAUGUGGAGCUGACUGAUACUAAUCGUUCGAGGACUUAACCAA